rnacentral:sRNA from 1 species
GGCUAGAAGACAGCAGGGGAACUCGAGAAGUUGGUUGUUUUCAGCAGAUUAAAACAACACAGUCAGAAGGUUGGUGCUGUUUGAAGGGGAAAAAAAAGCUCUAAGUGUCCCCUUCUCCCAAAAAAAGGAACAGAAAAUGACAAGAAGAGUUGCAUUUGUUUAUGAAAGUGCAUAGAAAGCUUUUCCUGGAAAAGAAUAAACUGGGAAAAGAUGAGUCCUUGAAGUAGAACCCUGUCAUAGUGCAACAAACUGAAUUUAAGAGGCAUCUGUUCCCAGCUUAUACAACAUCCAGUACCAGUUCCACAGCCAACAAUGGAUAGAUCUGGUCUUCCUUGAAGCCUUUAGAGACCUGUAGAAUGAACUUAGCUUCUGAAAACUGGGUGCGGGGCCAAUAGAGGGGCUGCUCAAUACCUCACCAGCCUGCUAUGCGGAAGGCUAGAUGGAGGGGCUGCUAAAGGAAGAGAACUGCUGUUCCAACUCCGCCUCCUCCCUGCAGUGUGGCUUCUUAGAAAAGGAGAUACCACUGGCCCUCCAUAUUCACAAGCUCUGCAUCUGUGGGUUCAGCCAACUAUGGAUCGAAAUAUGCAACUUCAUAUUAUCUUCAUUCAGGAGG